rnacentral:rRNA from 1 species
AAAAGUGAAAGACGGUCUUGCUGUCACUUAUAGAUGGAUCCGCGCUGCAUUAGCUAGUUGGUAAGGUAACGGCUUACCAAGGCAACGAUGCAUAGCCGACCUGAGAGGGUGAUCGGCCACACUGGAACUGAGACACGGUCCAGACUCCUACGGGAGGCAGCAGUAGGGAAUCUUCCGCAAUGGGCGAAAGCCUGACGGAGCAACGCCGCGUGAGUGAUGAAGGUCUUCGGAUCGUAAAACUCUGUUAUUAGGGAAGAACAUAUGUGUAAGUAACUGUGCACAUCUUGACGGUACCUAAUCAGAAAGCCACGGCUAACUACGUGCCAGCAGCCGCGGUAAUACGUAGGUGGCAAGCGUUAUCCGGAAUUAUUGGGCGUAAAGCGCGCGUAGGCGGUUUUUUAAGUCUGAUGUGAAAGCCCACGGCUCAACCGUGGAGGGUCAUUGGAAACUGGAAAACUUGAGUGCAGAAGAGGAAAGUGGAAUUCCAUGUGUAGCGGUGAAAUGCGCAGAGAUAUGG